rnacentral:tRNA from 1 species
GCUGCUGUAACCCAAUCGGAAGAGGUGUCGGUCUUAGAAACCGAUCGUUGUGGGUUCGACUCCCACCAGCAGUACCA